UACAGAGGGUGCGAGCGUUAAUCGGAAUUACUGGGCGUAAAGCGCACGUAGGUGGCGACGUAAGUCGGGUGUGAAAGCCCCGGGCUCAACCUGGGAAUUGCAUUCGAGACUGCAUUGCUGGAGUACGGAAGAGGAAGGCGGAAUUCCCGGUGUAGCGGUGAAAUGCAUAGAUAUCGGGAGGAACAUCAGUGGCGAAGGCGGCCUUCUGGUCCAGUACUGACACUCAAGUGCGAAAGCGUGGGGAGCAAACAGG
rnacentral:rRNA from 1 species